rnacentral:lncRNA from 1 species
CUGUCCAAACACACUCAAACUCUCUCUAAAAAUCUAAACUCAAACUCAUACAAUCAUCAUUUCUCAAACAACCACCCACAACUUUCUUCUCAUUUCAUUUUCUCUUAAUCCUUCCAUUUUCUACACUCACAACUCAGUCUCUUUCAUUAAGUUUCAGCCAUAGUCACCCUCUUCCAAACCUCUGCACCUUCAAACUCAACACCACAACAACUUAGUUUUCACAUCACACAUUUGGUAAUGAUUUUAACUCAAACUCAUUAACAUUUUGGUUCUGUUUUUGUUGAAAAAUGAUUGUCUUUCAUAUGCUGGUUUUUUGAGAGGGAAUUGAAUCAAGUUUGAGACAGGUGAUUUUGCUUUUUUUCACUUGGUUGGGAUUUUUGUUUUCAAUAUUUUCCACUUAUCAUUUUUAACCACACUUUUUUCCCUUUCUUUUCUUUUCUUUUCACAGCAUAAUUAAAUUUUAUUUGGUGUAUUUUCUUUAUUAUUAUAUUAUUAUUAUCAUGUAUUGUUCAUUUUAGAUUAUUAACCCUUCUGUUAUGAUCAUUUGGUUGAUGAGAUCUUUAAUAUCAUUGAUUAAUAAUCUCAAGAUUGAUUGAGCCUUCAAUAUUUCAAACAUGUUGAUGAAUGAUCAAUGCAUCAUUCUUCACACUUUAAGGUGUUGAUAGGUUGCCCUUGGUAGAUCAUAUUGUUGAAUCUCUUGAUGAUAGAUGAGACCUUUUGUAACUUUUUUGCUAAC